CAUGCUCUAGGAUCAUAAUUACAAGACAAAAUAUUAUCGCAGGAGGCUGAAUUUAACAAGGUAUCAGCCAAGGGGACAGGACUUUAAGUGCAUGGGGAUACUAUGCUGAGUGGGACUGUUGGGGAGCCCCAGAAAAGAUGCUAGGUUUAUAUUAGCUGAUUUCAAAAUCUCUGUCAAAAUGUGCCAUAUCCCUGGCUGUCAAUGUCAUUCCUAACAACACAGGCUUUUCCCCUCUUCCACAGGCUGGAAAGAAACUGGCCCUUAUCUCCCUCCUAACUCGACCCUCCCCACCAGGGUCUGAUCCAGAGCCCGCAGGUCCUGCUAAUGAGAGCACUCAUGGUGGGAAUAUGGACACUUACCUGCUCCAAGGCCUUCCCCGGCAGCAAGCUCAGGCUGCCAGGCCUAUGGAUCCUGGAUCAUCCUUCCCACCGAGACUUCCAUUGCACGGCUCUUCCAUUGGCACAUCUGUGCUCAGCUGGGACUACUCUGCUCACCCAGGGCUGCUGGUAAAGGAUGGAGAGCAGCCUGGCAAGCUCUUUCUCCAGCUCCCUCUGUGCUCUUGGGGAAGGUAGAACCUUGCACAGGAAAGCAACUGGUGCCACAAGGAGUGGGUGGCAGCAGGCAGCUCUGGGGAAGCCCCUCAGGAAUGCUGUAUCCUGAGGGAACACUGUUGGCCUUGACCUGUGGGCACCUGCAAAAGCUUCAAAUCAGCUGCCUCAGCUUCCAGGGCCUCUCUUGGCCAGCAUCCUGACGUGGAUGCAGGACGGCUGCCAGGCACUGCUGGGACCCAGCGGGACAGGAGCGGCUGUCUCGUGCCCACGCAGCACCCGUGACACAGCCAGGGCCAUCCCGAGAGCAGACAGACGCUCACGGGCCAGCAGAGAGGAGCAAGGAGCCCUGGGCUCCUCUCAGGGUAUCUCAGCUGGGCUCGCUCCACAACAGACCCCCAUUUGAAGGCCUGCUGAUGCCCAGCUGCCAGAAAUGCCUCCCUUGUGCUCUCCAAGAUGCACAGGGAGAGCCAAGGAGCAGGACACCUUGGCAGGCAAACCUUCCAAGCCUUUUCUGAGGCCAGGCACACACCAAGAUCAGCCAAGACUCUCCACCACGCUGCCUGGCCCACCCAGCCCAGUCUGUGCUGGCCCUGGGCCACAGCAGCUCCCAGCAAGCAGGAGGCAAAUGCAUCUUGCCAAGAGAUGCAACACAACAGACAGGGAAGAUGUGAAAAGUGAGUGUGUAAAGGCCUUUUAAUUCACAGCUCCCACAGAGAGCUCUGGGGCUCACAGAUGGACAGAGAUGGUUCUGCUCACCCCUCUGUCCAAAGGGGGGGUAACACACGCUGCUGCAGGUGCUUGUGUUGGUCUCUGCAGGUCCAGGUGGAUGCCAAACCUGCUCUUCACAGCCUUCUCCCUUCCCCUGCCCCUCUGCCAAGUGCAGCAGGCCUCAAGGACUGAAAGGAGCACAGAGAGCCAAAGGGGGACACUUGCACCUGCCUCACUGGGAGCUCCCUGGGAAGCACUUUCCUUGAGAAGCAAGCCCCUGUCCUCCAAAUGCAUUUCCCCAAAUGUGCGGCUUUUCUGCUCAACACCAACACACCCUUAGGAAACGCUGGCAAGGCUGAAGGACUUCAUGUCCUUUCAGGACAGGCACUCCAGCUCUAGCUCCUAUUCCCAAGUGCCUUUCCAGGUGGAGGCUCAGACGUGCAGCCCCAGGCCCUCUACAAACACAAGCUGCUCAGUGCCUCUUCACCUGCCUCAACUCCUGCCUGCGCCCACGGCACCAAGACCAGGCUGUUCCCA
ensembl:lncRNA